GCCGGAGUGGCGAAACUGGUAGACGCACUGGACUCAAAAUCCAGCGGAGCUUGCUCUGUAUGGGUUCGACUCCCAUCUCCGGCA
rnacentral:tRNA from 1 species